rnacentral:rRNA from 1 species
GUAGGUGGCAAGCGUUGUCCGGAAUUAUUGGGCGUAAAGCGCGCGCAGGUGGUUCUUUAAGUCUGAUGUGAAAGCCCCCCGGGCUCAACCGGGGGAGGGUCAUUGGAAACUGGGGAACUUGAGUGCAGGAGAGGAAAGUGGAAUUCCACGUGUAGCGGUGAAAUGCGUAGAUAUGUGGAGGAACACCAGUGGCGAAGGCGACUUUCUGGCCUGUAACUGACACUGAGGCGCGAAAGCGUGGGGAGCAAACAGGAUUAGAUACCCUGGUAGUCCACGCCGUAAACGAUGAGUGCUAAGUGUUGGGGGGUUUCCGCCCCUCAGUGCUGCAGCUAACGCAUUAAGCACUCAGCCUGGGGAGUACGGUCGCAAAGACUG